GAUAAGUAAUGUGADUUGCAGAAUUCAGUGAAUCAUCGAAUCUUUGAACGCACCUUGCGCCCUUUGGUAUUCCGAAGGCACGCCUGUUUGAGUGUCAU
rnacentral:rRNA from 1 species